UGCCUGUGAUGUUAGAAAAUAUUUGCUACUCUUGAUAGGGGGAAACACCCUAUUUGAUGAAUUAUUAACCACCAAGAUCUCUGAGGCC